rnacentral:sRNA from 1 species
UCAACGGUUAUAGAAGAUAAAAAGCUGUAACUGGGAUUAAAAUGGAAACAUUUGUUAAAAAGAAUAAAUCGAAUAAUAGUUCCAAGUGGUUUACAUUUGGGCAAAAAAAUUAGAUCAUAACUU